GACUGGUCCGAUGGCAAUGGGUUAUCAGAACUUAUUAACAUUAGUGUCACUAAAGUUGGUAUACCACCCCCCCCACUGCUAAAUUUGACUGGCUUAUA
ensembl:misc_RNA Y_RNA Y RNA